rnacentral:lncRNA from 1 species
AUCCUACAAAAUGGUCUAAUAUCUUAUGGAAUGUUCCCCUCUUCACUAUCCUCAGCUCAAGUGCUCCAAUUGCAUUCACUUUCCGGGAGCUCACGUAGCCUGCAUCGAUGAACGACCUGUCCAAACAGUUGCAGCAGUCUUGCAACAUUUCAUCAGUUGCUUCACCACUCAGUUCCCAGAAGAUGACAUAGUGUCCCGGAUCAGCUGAGUCUUGUAACACUUCAUCAGUUGCUUCCCCACUCAGUUCCCAGAAGAUCACAUAGUGCCCCGGAUCAGCUGAGACGUUGACAUGGCUCGUGAAGUCCACCACUUCUAGUUUUUCGUCUACUAGGCGCUUUGCUGCAGCUUCCACGGCUAGUUGUAAAUCUUUCUCUGUGUUCUUGUCAAUGUUAAUGCUAAGCAAAAGGUUGCUUCUGCAAAUAAACUGGAGUUCUGGAGUCCCAUUGUGAAAACCUUUUA